rnacentral:misc_RNA from 1 species
GAUGAAGAACGCAGCGAAAUGCGAUAAGUAAUGUGAAUUGCAGAAUUCAGUGAAUCAUCGAAUCUUUGAACGCACAUUGCGCCCGCCAGUAUUCUGGCGGGCAUGCCUGUCCGAGCGUCAUUUCAACCCUCAAGCCCCAGCCGGCUUGGUGUUGGGGACCGGCCCCGGCCGCCCCCCAAAUGCAGUGGCGACCUCGCCGCAGCCUCCCCUGCGUAGUAGCACAACCUCGCACCGGAGCGCGGAGACGGUCACGCCGUAAAACGCCCAACUUCUCAGAGUUGACCUCGGAUCAGGUAGGAAUACCCGCUGAACUUAAGCAUAUCAAUAACGGAGGA